GUUUCAGUUCAAUGCAGGGAGCGACUGCCCAGCAAGCUGUUGGAGGAAGGGGAGCUCCCAUCGCUGAACCACCUCUCCUGCACGGACACAGGAGACUCCACUGCACUCUUCGCCGCCGUCUCUUGCACGACCAAUGCAUUCACCCUGCCCCUCUCCGUCCGGCUUCUGUCGGCACCCCACGACCUGUCGGUGACGCGCGUCGACGCUACGGACGAGGAGAUCGACGAUGACGUCGACAAGAACGCGGCGUCGUCAGCCGAUGGCGCCCACCCGCUGCGCUGUAUCUGCUCCAGCUCGUCGGCGACCUCGGUCAUGGACGGCCUCAUCUCGCUGUGGAACGCCAGGCACCGGAACGCCAGCUCGGCCACCUUAUGGAUGGACGAGAGCG
rnacentral:misc_RNA from 1 species